UGACGUAGGGUGCGAGCGUUGUCCGGAAUUAUUGGGCGUAAAGAGCUCGUAGGCGGUGUGUCACGUCGGCCGUGAAAACCUGCAGCUUAACUGUGGGCGUGCGGUCGAUACGGGCAUCACUGGAGUUCGGCAGGGGAGACUGGAAUUCCUGGUGUAGCGGUGAAAUGCGCAGAUAUCAGGAGGAACACCGGUGGCGAAGGCGGGGUCUCUGGGCCGAAAUUGACGCUGAGGAGCGAAAGCGUGGGGAGCAAACAGG
rnacentral:rRNA from 1 species